rnacentral:misc_RNA from 1 species
AAUCUUAAAACGGUAAUCAGUAGAUCAAGUUGAAUUUGUACAUGAAUGGACCAAAACCAUCAAUGUAAUGUUUCAUCUAAAUUUAAAUUAGUACGUUAUAGGAUGACGAGUUUCCAGCGGCUUUGGGAUGUUAUUUAUAUUGUACUCGAGAAGACAAUUAUAUUUCUUGCCAAAUGCAGAAGAUUCAUAUCAAGUGGUCCAAAAGCUAACAACAACAAGACUGGCACAUGCAAUCUCCAAAUAGGAACAAUCGAAUG